rnacentral:lncRNA from 1 species
GAGGAAGGAGCCAGAUAACAAAAUGAACUAUCACCUUCAAUUUAGGUUCUCCUGUCUCUUCCAUUCAUCCACCCCCCCCCCGCCGACCUUCUCCAAAUGUCUCCCCUCUCUUAAUUCAGCACCUCUGAAAAGUCAGAUUCCCAGUACUCACUCUGAUCCAUCUCCCUCCUUCUUCUGUCUUCCAAGGCUCUCCAACUAAUCAGUAUUCAGAUUCCAGAUCUAAUUGCAUCUCUGAGCAUUUACAGACAUCCUCCUAGAAUCUUUUCUCCCAUCCUGAGUCGGUAGGGUGGGGCUGCCGUUUCCUCCUCCUCCUAGGACUCCUCCUGCUCUUAAUUUCCCCGUUGUUCCGGGUGCAUCUUCACAUAAGGAAAAGAGCUUCUGCCCUAAGCCUUUUUAAAAAUUGCUGAGGGAUUUGUUUCUGUGGCCUCCUUUUUAAGCUGAGAAGACUCAAGUGAUAUGAAAGGCAAAGUUUGGUUUGGAUCUGUCCCUUUGCACCUCUGUCACUUCAAGUCUUGGGACCCAAUUCACUCUAAGCCCACUCAGUCUGGUGUCAGGCACUGCCAGAUAGUCAGUGUCCAGAUGGGGAUGGGUAAGGAACAGAGCUGCCUGCAGAAAGGUCAUUAACCAAUGGUCCCGAAAACGGGUUUGAACAGUCCAUUAGGACCCAGAGAACUUCACAUCUUAAAAAACGAAGCAUAUUGACAUGGUGAA